GGCAACCCUGACGGAGCAACGCCGCGUGGGGGAGGAAUGUCUGUGGAUUGUAAACCCCUUUUCUCAGGGAAGAAGCUCUGACGGUACCUGAGGAAUCAGCAUCGGCUAACUCCGUGCCAGCAGCCGCGGUAAGACGGAGGAUGCAAGCGUUAUCCGGAAUUAUUGGGCGUAAAGCGUCCGUAGGCGGUUUAUCAAGUCUGCCGUUAAAGACUGCAGCUUAACUGUGGGCGAGCGGUGGAAACUGAUGAACUAGAGUACGGUAGGGGUAGAGGGAAUUCCCAGUGUAGCGGUGAAAUGCGUAGAUAUUGGGAAGAACACCAGUGGCGAAGGCGCUCUACUGGGCCGUAACUGACGCUGAGGGACGAAAGCUAGGGGAGCG
rnacentral:rRNA from 1 species